rnacentral:tRNA from 1 species
GGCCUGAUGGUCUAGUAGUAUGAUUCCUUGUUAGGGCGCGUCAAGCGUGUUUCGAGGAGGUCCUGGGUUCAAUUCCCAGUCAGGCCC